rnacentral:rRNA from 1 species
AUCUGGGGUGAGGACAGUGCCUGGUGGGUAGUUUGACUGGGGCGGUCUCCUCCCAAAGAGUAACGGAGGAGCACGAAGGUGGGCUAAUCACGGUUGGACAUCGUGAGGUUAGUGCAAUGGCAUAAGCCCGCUUGACUGCGAGAAUGACAAUUCGAGCAGGUGCGAAAGCAGGUCAUAGUGAUCCGGUGGUUCUGAAUGGAAGGGCCAUCGCUCAACGGAUAAAAGGUACUCCGGGGAUAACAGGCUGAUACCGCCCAAGAGUUCAUAUCGACGGCGGUGUUUGGCACCUCGAUGUCGGCUCAUCACAUCCUGGGGCUGAAGUCGGUCCCAAGGGUAUGGCUGUUCGCCAUUUAAAGUGGUACGCGAGCUGGGUUUAGAACGUCGUGAGACAGUUCGGUCCCUAUCUGCCGUGGGCGUUGGAAGAUUGAAGGGGGCUGCUCCUAGUACGAGAGGACCGGAGUGGACGAACCUCUGGUGUUCGGGUUGUGUCGCCAGACGCAUUGCCCGGUAGCUAAGUUCGGAAUCGAUAACCGCUGAAAGCAUCUAAGCGGGAAGCGAGCC